AUAUAUAUAUAUGUUUAAAUAUACGCUGAUAUUAUAUAUGUAUUAAUCGUUAACAGUCAUAUCUUCUAAAUGCUUUGCUGAUUAUGAUUUAAAUUGGGAUUGUAUGUUUGGUCAUGAGGGCUAAAUGAAUGUGAAAUGAAUGUAAUAUUUUAGUGCAAUAUUCCUGCUUCUUUAAUAUUUUGUAUUCUGAGCAGAAUUCAUGUACAAUAUGCACCUCUAAAUAUACCCCAUUUAUUUCUAUAUAAAUAAAAAUAUAAAUUUUAGAAGAACAUUUUAUUAUAUUUAUGGCUGCUAUAUAUAUAUAUAUAUAUAUAAAUAAUUAUAUACAUAUUUUAAACACGUACAUAAACCAUUUUCUAUGGGUAUUUUAUAGAUGUUAUAAACUUAUUCGUGUAUGAGUACACUGCUUUCUCCUCCCUCACACUUGGUCUGACCCUUUGGUCUUUGUGCUGUGGGAGAAUCAGAGUACCUGAAGGAGAGCAUGCAGAUGUAUGGCUUGCUCGUGGGAGUCAGCGGAUAACUCUCUGAGGCUUUCUGGCCUCUAGCCGGCCCUCAUACAGUCCCUCUCUGAUUUAAUCUAAGCUCUGAGAGUUGAUGGAGUUCAGGAGUGGGAAUGCAUCUGUUUGCGUUUUGUUUUAUGAUUGCACCAGAAAAGCCAUAAAGAGAAUAUGGUUUGUGUCAAACUAUAGCAAACGUAUGAUAAACACAUUCCUGAGCCGAUCGCCACUCCUUAUAAGACACGCUAAAGAUGGCGAGCUCCCAUUCAUCUUCUGCAUGAGCUCUUUCACAAACACCUGCUGUCUACCACAAAAACACAACGCCUACAACCAAAUGAUGAGCUGAUGAGCAAUUACUGAAUUAAAGAACUAUUUCUAGAUUGGGAACACAUGAUGUAGAAACCAUUUUCACUCAGAAAUGACAAAGAAAUGGCGAGUCAUUCAUUGAAUGAAACGUGAAAUUUUGAAGUAGAAAAACUGAAUUAGUUUUUGCUCUUUAACUUUAUACACUGUGCCAGAUUUAACUCAUGACAUUUAGUUUUGAUGGUAUAAAUGAACGUACUUAGCUUGAUUCAGUGAUAUUAAAUUACAUUUCUGACUUGAAUAAAAGCCGUGAAUUUAGGUUGACAUUUUUUCGUGUCGCUUGCAGAAUCAUAUGUGAUAUAAUAUUAUCUGUAUAUGUAGAUAUAAUAAUGUUUUUUCUUGAUAUGCAACACGAGUAAAUAAUAGAUCCUUAUAUUUCACCCUCAGACAACAAAAAUUGUCACUGUUUCAAAAAAUACAAAUAUGUACCAUUUAGGUAUCAAUAUGUACCCUUUGGGGGCAAAUAAGGUACUUUUGAAAAGGCAUUGUCCCAGUGAUAGCUUUUGUACCUAUUUUUAUGAGAGUGAUCUCAGUGGCACUUACAAUGGUUUUUGGAUGGUUUUUUUUGUGAGUCAUAAUAAACCGCGGCAUAUUCAUAAGCCAUUCCUCUCCUCCUGUUCAUACACUCUCAGAAAAAAAGGUAAAAAAAAAAAGCUGUUUAUGGGACGGUACCCUUUCAAAAUGUACUAAUAUGUACCAUUUAGUUAUGAAUAUGUGCACUUUGGGUACAAUUCUGUAACUUUAAGGUACUAAAAUGCUUCCUUUAAGGGUAAAUAAGGUAAAAAUGUGUACCUUUUGAAAGGAUCCCGUCCCAGUGACAACUUUUGUACCUUUUUUUCUGAGAGUUUACCGGUUCUUCCAACUGAAGAGAGUGUAAUCAUAACCAGACAUGUAGGUUACCGUGUCUGCACUGCCAGCUACACAAUACUGAAACCUGAAAGACGACUUUAGCGUCUGUGUUGAGUAUCGAAGCAUAACAGAGGCGAUCUGCGUGAGCAGGUGCUCUAUUAAUAAAACCAUUGUUGCUUGAAAGUCAGUUCUAGUAGUGAAAAUAGAAGAAAAGCUUUGCACUGCUUUGAGGAAUGCACAGAACUCGAUAAACUACAGAUCGUGUCCCGUUAUUAUUUGUGGAUUAAAGACAGUAUAUUUAUAUGAUAUGUUAUGAAAAUGAAUAUUUAUACAGCAAUGUCUCUAAACGGAAUCAUCGCUGUCUCAUGGAGCAACUGUCAUAACAUGAUAAAGCAAUCAGGCCCUCAUGUUCAGUGUGUCUCGCUGCUGACUGACACGCAGACGAAACAAAGAGCCAGCUUAAUAAUGCACCUCAUCAUCAUCAUCUUCAUCAUCAUCAUCAUGUUUAGAGAGGUUCUGUUGUACACUGUGAAAAGCAGAAAACUGCUAUCGUUACCUCAAAGAGCAUUUUCUACCUGAUUUAACCAAUAAAAAUGACUUUUAUUGAUAUUAAAUGUAUAUAGGUUGGUUCAGUGAUGUUAAAUAAUAUUUUUGACUUGAAUAAAACCAGUUCCCAUUUUUUUCAGUGUAUUAACAACAACAACAAUAAAUGAAAUAAAAUUAACAACUGGAUGUGCAUUAUUUUAACAUUAUACAUAUAUAUGGGAUGUUUGUUUGAAAUCAGCAUAAACUAUCUCAGUGUUUAGAGUGUGAAUAUUUGUGCAUCAGUUCCUCAGAAUGCUGUCUUUUCUUUGAAAAUGAGUACUUGUUGACAAGGAAAGACAGCAGGUAGCUUGAGAUGUAAUGUGACUCAUGUGGGAAGACAAUGAAACAAAUGUACAGGGCGGAGUGCUUUUAUUGUGCACCAUUUCCAGUCAAGCUGUAACAUUCUCAAAGUUAAUUGAAUUAAUUGGUCCAUUUAGAUAGUACGGAGCCCCGCACAUGACAUGCAGGAAAAAAUAGUAGCUAAAUCGUGUGCACGAUUUAUUAAUUCAUUCCCUCAAUGUACUAAAACGUGCACACGAUUACUAUUGCACUCCCUCGAUUUAUAAAUUGUGCGUUUUAGUACAUUGAGGGAACGAAUUAGUAAAUCGUGCGCACAAUUGAUUUAUUUUUUUCUUGCAUGUCAUGUGCGGGGCUCCGUAAGAUAGAGACAGUAAAAAAUAAAAUAAAAUAAAAUAUGCAUUGUACAUAGAAAAUUAUGCACACAAAUACAAUUAAGUUGUGCGUAUUUGAGAGACAUGCACUGUAAAAUGUUUAUUGUCAAAUUAACAGUAACUGAUUGACCAUAUUUCAUCAAUGAACAAAAUACAAUAAUAGCUAGGGCUGGACCAGAAUAUUAGAUUAUUCGAAUAUCCGUUAGGUGGGUUGGCAUUCGAUUUUCAAUUCUGAGAUUCGAAUAUUCUAAAAAAAAAAAAAAAUUCUGAACACCUGGCACCCCCUGCGAAACGAAUCGCUCAUGAGUGAACGUCAUGAUUCAGUUUAUCUGGAAGAGAAGACAGACCUGCCAAGACCUCAGCUGUGUGGGAGCACUUUAUAUUGAGUGAGGACGAGACAAAGGCAGUGUGCCAGAUUGUUGGAGUAAAAAAAAAUGAGCUGCUUUUAUCCGCCAUGUUCAUCAGUAUUUUUUCACAUGAUAAAAACGUGCACUUAAUUUACUUGGAAAAUACUUGGUAUACGUCAGUCAUUAAAAAAAAAAAAAAAAAACGUACAGUAGCCCAGCCUAAUAAUAAUUUGUUUGUAUUAAAAGUUUUGCUCUAAACAGACCUGUGCUGUGUGUUUUGUAUCACUAGUGCAGUGUCUGUUCUGAGCAUAUAAGCCCUGAUUUCCGCUGCACACGUCUGCGGCUCCGACGCGGCUGGAGCUGAUCGCUGCCUCUCUAGUCAAUGCUUGUGUUUACACCAGACACUCUCCGCGCCGCUUCGCUGAAGAUAGGCGCCUAGUCUAUUUCUGACACACGCCGCGUCCAAACCCCACAGCAAAUACAAAACAGAAGUCAAAAAAUCCUGUACAUUUCAAAAUAAACACCCCGUGCAGACUCCCAAUCGUAUUUCACAUUACUACAUUCAUGAUAGGAGGCCAGAAAUAGAUGACGAGAGGUUCAUCCGCAAAGUUAAAACACCUCACAUUAUUAUAUGACACCACAGAUCCUUUUUACAAGACAAUUAAAAAAGGAAAUGAUAUGGAGUUUAAUUGCAGGAGUUGUAGGAGUGGAAUAAACAGAAUAAAACCAGACAAAACAUUAACAUUUAGUCAGCCAUGUUAGAACACACAAAAAUCAAGAAAAACAAUGUUGUUUGUUUCAAGACCCCCAAAGUUCAAGACUUGGUUAUGGCCUUGACCCCUUUAAAGCAUUAAGGGAGAGCUCUGCUCUCAGCUCUUUAACUGUAGGCUUAUUAUAUUAAUGUUAACAUCUACCACAACUAUUUCCCAGUCUCUACUGCAGUGUCGGGGUCCUAAAGUCCCAGAAUGCAUUGCGUUGUCGACGUCACAUUCCCGUUCUCUAUAGCCUACUCUCUUGUCGAGUCUGUCACAGAGUCGUGGCGUGAGGAGCUGCGUGGAUGUUUUCCAUGAUCAUUUAAUACUACUGUAUUCAGAUUUACAGUAGGCUAUUUUCCCAGAAUGCAUUGAAAAUCUACAGUAACAUACACAGCAUAUACAGUAGGAAAUGGCUGAGAAUACAGUAAAUUACACUGAAAACAAAAAUGAUUUACAGUAAAGUGCUAGCGGUGAAAUGAGACAGGACAAAGGAGUCGGACAUUUAAUUCUAAACAUGACUCAAAAGUCCUUUGCCCUACAGAGUGUUAUUAACACAACAUAUGAAAUGUGAUGGAAAAUGACAUUUGUUUGUUUAGUAAAAUGACAAUGACAGCUCUCUCUCUCACACACACUAUAUAUAAAUGAUUUGUGGACAUCAUCAGUAGAGCUGAAUAAUGGCCCUAUUGUUUUUUUAGAGUCUGCUGUUUUCCUCUUUCCUAUUGUGAAGCUGCUUUGAUCUUUAUAAAGACUAAAGCACUAUAGAGAAACAUGUGACUUGACUGGCUUGGUAAACAUCAUCAACUAUUAAGGUUGGAAAAUUGUGUUUUAAAGGUGUUGGAGACAAACAGCUUGAUUUAUGUGGAGUUAGAUUGCAUGUUUCUGUUCAGGUGAGGAAUCCUAUAGUCGUGUGUAUCCGUCUCGUGUGGGAUCAUCUCCUCUUCUGAGUCAAGCAGAAGCUGGUCUCUGUCAUCCAUCUUUUGCUGUUAAUAUUUUGAGCUCUGAUUUCAUGCAGUUGUCUUAACCUGCUACAGAGGAAAGGCAGCAUUGUGUUGCAUCUCAACCCUUUCUUACCACAUCCUCUCAAACUCAGUCAACCCAUCUCUGCAUCAGUGCCCCCCCAUCACCCCCCCAUCCGCCAAGCCCAUGCUGACUCUUCAUUCUUAACUUAGAAUGAUACUUUAAGCAAAAGUCUACACCAGGGUUCCUCAAAUCUUCCGCUAGAGGGCCAAUGUGCUGCAGAGUUUAUCUCAAACCCUGAUCAAACUCACCUGCCUGUGAUUGUCUAAUGAUCCUGAAGACAUUGAUCAGCAUGCUCAGGUGUGUUUGAUUAGGGUUACAGCUGAACUCUGCAGGAGAGUGGAUCUGGGAGGCCAUGUUUGAGGAUCACUGGUCUACACAUAUGACCUAAACAUUUACAUCAUACCUUCCUCACAUGUGCACACCACUGUAUACGUACAUAUACACACACAGCAGUGAGUAGUGAACACACACCCAGAGCAAAGAGAGCGCUGUACAUUCACUUUUCCUACUCCUGCCGGUACUGAGACUCAAACCCAAGACCUUUGGGUUGCUAGUCCAACUCUCUAACCAUUAGGCCAUGACUGCAUGUUUAUUACUUGUGCUAUAUUUAUUAUUAUUAUUGUAUUCAAGGAGCCAAAGGAGCAAGCUCAUAUGGAUCUUUGAUACCUAUUAACUUUUUUUUGUCAAAGUUUGUCAAAAUAUCGUGCCCUUCCGUGGUCUAGACAUCACAAAUUAGUAGAACAACAUCUUCAGUAGUACAUUAACUGUGCAAUCCUUGCUGUUGUUUGCAUCCGAGUCUCUCCAAUAUGGCCAUGCCUCUGGGAAACUGACCGAACGGUGACGAAGGUGCAAACGCUCUGUAGGGAUGCACGGCUCCGAUACUGCCAUUUUCUCAGGUAUCAGUCAGACGAGACCGAUCCAAAUCUGAUAUUGUGAGUAUACUAUUCAGUGUUGUUGUUAAGCCCCAUUAAAGGCACAAAAACAUUACAAAGCACCACAAAGUUUCCACGCACGAGUUCUGAAGCCGUUCCAUAGUGUAAAGUGAGGUCCAGAUUAAUAUUUGAGUCGUUAGUAUACUCUUCUCUCAUCAGUUACAACAGUCAAGAUGAUGAAACUCUCUCCAAGAUGAUUUAAUGUUUCUAUUAUUAUACUUGAUCUGUAGAUAAAGAUCAAUGGUUUUGCAUAAAAGGACUUUAUCUGGCUGGAGUUUAGUGCUGUUUCUAAAGCAUGUUACUUUCCACCAGGUGCCCUUACCCAAAAUAAGUAAACUUCAGGUUUAUUUUAUUAAGUAUAGUUAAGUAAAGUUCAGGUAUAUUCAAUCAGAGCACACCUCGCUUUUCAGAACGAUUUGUAAACGUUUCAGAAAGGUGGGGCAUAGAGGAGAAACAAUAAUGUACAGUACAGUAAUGUUCCACAUAAACACAUUUAAUUUCACCAAAUACACCAAAUAAUGUUCUUUUAGCAACAUCAUAUGAAUAUAUGAAUAUACAAAUAUCAGUGUUCUAGUAGUAUACUUGUAAGUGUACUAUUUCAAUACUUCUUGAGACUUUUAUGUACACUUUAAGUAUAAUGAUAGUCAACUUUGAGUACACUACUAGUUUACCUCUGUGUUUGUAGUUUGUACUGCAAUUAUACUAAAAGUGAACUUCUAGCUAUACUGAUAGUUUACUUAUUAAAUACUUUGUACACUUUGAAGUAUAGUCUCAGUAAACUACUAGUUUAGUAGUUUUAUACUGCAAGAAUACUCGUAAGUUUUCUUUAUGUGAACUUUACAUCAUACUUUAAGUACACUACUAUGUCCCUAUUUAGGUUUUAAUUUGUAUAAAUUUUGUUAUAUGAAUAUCUGAACAUACAAAACAUCCGAAGAAAGAACAGGGUCUGCUUGUAAACAACAACAUUUUAUUCUAGCUUCAUGCAUUCUUUUUUUAUAAACACCUGAAUGUGGGUAAGUUUCAUAAGUAAAAAUUUAAGAAAUAAACAGCAUUUUGAACAAAAAGCUGAAAAAAGACUAUGUAUUGGAUUCAGAAUGAUAAUCAAAAUGUAGAUGGAGUUGAUUAACACCCCAAAGCUCUUCAUGGGUCAACAUUUUAUUCCAUAACGUCACACAGUUUUGAUGCUGUUAGGGUUUGAUGCUGUGAUGAUCGUCCCUGCGUUCCAUUCGGAAGGGCUCAUCCCUCAUCCCCUCAAAGUGUUCACCCUCUGGAGUGAGAGCCCUGAAGGGUUGAAGGGUGUAGGGCACCAAACAACUGUUUCUUGAAGUGCCCACACGGACGCGCCGUCAUCAUGCAAAGGAUCAUGGGAGCCCGAAGUGUCCAUCAGUUGUACCCUUCGAAACCCUUUGAAGUGGCCAGUUGUGAGCACUUCGGUUUGGAAUGACCCUUCAAUAUGGCGGCCAUGAUUGUUUUCACUCCGAAGUGCCCUUCAGAGGACGAUAUAUCCCGUUUGGAACGCACCACGUGUUAGAUUACAUCUGGAAGCAUCUGUUGUUUCAGUUUCUUCUUCGCUUGUGUCUUGGAAAUUCUGUACAGAAGAUGUGUAAUAGCGCCCCCUACAACAUAACAAUGAUUCCCAGAGCACAAGUAGCUAUAGCUCAAAUAUAUUUAGACUUUUUCUAAUUAUACGUCAAGUGUACUUAAAUCUAAUUUUAAGUAUAUUUCUGAGAAGUUGUUUCUUUAAAGUAGAAAUAGAGCCUUAAAAAUUACAAUUGCAGUUUUUUGCCAGCCAUAGGAUUUUUACUACUUUACUACUACGAGACUGCUCUUCUUUCACAUGCAGCAGUCGAGGUCUGUGAGGCCACAUCAUAAAUUUUGGGAAAUACCAGCAGCGGCCCCAAACGCACAGCCUUCUGUGUGUGUGAUAAGAGUUAGGGAGAAACCCUGCGCUCCACUGACUCAUACACACACACUUCAGUUUUGCUUCACUGCGAAAGAGUGACUCACGUAAACAUUGUGAUUAUUUUUAAGAAAAAAGAUAGUCUUAAUGCGGCCUAUAUGUCUGAUUAACCCCAGUGAUUCACAGGAAACAUGCUCCGUUUGACUGUCAUGUUGAAACGUGUCCUAAAAUAACUUGUGUAAUGUUCUGUAAGGAAAAGGAAACCUCCGGGGAAGUGAAAUACUACCGUGGAGUUUUAUUCAGGACAGAUAAACAAGGUCUACAGUAGAUAUGCUGUACAUGUGCAUGUUUGAGUGACGUUUGCUUCGGAAAAGACCCAGAAAGCCUGAUGUUGUGAGAAACAGCUUCUCAUGGCUCUGGUGUGAUGACGGUGGUCAGGACGGGACUUUUAGGUUUCGCUACAGUUGGUGACAGCAGCUUUUGAUGACAAAUGGGGAACUGCAUUCACUGUACAGUAAAACUAAAUAUCAAGUAAAUACAAUAACCUAUAUGCUUGCAUUCUACCUCCAUAAAUGAAACAUUGAUGCAUGAAGUAAUGGUAAAUAUCACUUGUGAACAGUAUACCUGCGGUGUCAUCUACAAUCUUUAUCAAAAAUGAAAAAAUGCUGGAAAUGUAAUUUUAUUAUUUCUCUUCACUGGUAAUUCACUUGGCCAUUUUAUUCCAUUAUCAGUGGACAUACACACAUCCAUUACAGGACAAUUACUGUCAUUUUUCUAAAACAACAAAUAUCAUUUCCAGCACAGAUUUAUUUAUUUAUUUUUUUCAAAAAUAAAUAAAAUAAUAAAAAUACUCUGUGAUACAAAUACUACACUACUGUUUGGAGUUUUAGAGUUUGGGGGUUACAUGUUUCUGGAAGAAGGCUGCAUUUAACUGAUCAAAACAGCUGUUUUCUGUGUGAAUCUCUGUUAAAGUGUAAUUUAUUUCUGUGAUGCGCAGCUGUAUUUUCAGCAUCAUUACUCCUGUCUUCAGUGUCACAUGAUCUUCAGAAAUCAUUCUAAUAUGAUGAUUUGCUGCUCAAGAAACAUUUCUGAUUAUUUUCAAUGUUGAAAACAGUUGUGCUGCACAAUAUUUUUUGUGGAAACUGUGAUACAUUUAAUUUUUCAGGAUUCACAGAUGAAUAUACAGUGAGUUCAAUAGAACAGCAUUUAUUUGAGAAAUAUUUUGUAACAUUAAAAAUGUCUUUACUGUCACUUUUAAUCAAUUUAAUGCAGCCUUGAAGAAAAAUAUUCAUUUAAAUUUUAAUUUAUUUUUUGUACUGAACCCAGACUUGAACAGUUGUGUAUUUGUGUCCACUGGUUUAAUGUUAGGAAUGAAUAAAUAAAAGACAUUUGAAAAAUAAUAAUAAUAAUAAUAAUAAUAAAAACAUAAAAAUAAAUAAUGAAAGUAAGACUGUUGCCCGUAGUUGGAAAAAUGCUGAAUGCUCAGGAUAUGACUAUUGUGGAAGCAAACAGUCUUGUGAAAUGUGUCAAAUAAGCAGAUGAUUAUGUUCCUCUUUUUAAAGUCUUUCUGUCAGUGAUGGGUACAGAUGGAAGGACAGAAAAUCUCCCGCCCGCACCGAGAGAGUCAUGAUAGAGCGACCUGUUACGACAAGUACACUAUCUAGAGAUCUGCUGCCAAACCAAAGCAGCGAAACCACUCACAACCUUCAGAUUAGUGUUCAGCUGAACCUGGGAUUUGCUCAGCGGUUUAUUCUUAAUUUAUUACAUUUGACCCCAGCUGAAGGUGACCAUUUAAAGGAAGAGUUCAGGGUUAGCUCAUCAAUGGAUACUCUGCAGUGAAUGGGUGCCGUCAGAAUGAGAGUCCAAACAGCUGAUAAAAACAUCACAAUAAUCCACAAGUAAUCCACAGCACUCCAGUCCAUCAGUGAACAUCUGGAGAAGACAAAAGAUGAAACACAUCCAGCAUAAAGAUGCUUUUAACUCAAAUACAUAGUCUAUAAUCCAUAAUAACACUUCCUCCAGUGAAAAAGUCCAGUUUUCAUUUGUGGCUGAACUAUUGCUUUAACAAUUAACAGGCUAAUAUUUAACAUGACUCUAAUAAAAAGCGUAUGAAAGAAAUAAUUAUAAUUUAAUGUUUAAGUGGCACUUUUUAUUUUAUUAUAAUUUUUUUAAAUGUAAGUUGUGUGUGUGUGUGUGUGUGUGUGUGUGUGUGUGUGUGUGUGUGUGUGUGUGUGUGCUAUAUAUUUAUGCAUACUUCAUAUACUCAUAACGUCAGAGUGAUGUCAGAGGCAUGUUCAUGAUUGACAGAUGAAUGAAAAUUCACUUCUUGUCAUUUUUUUGUUUUUCCUGUUUUCUGUUUUGAUUGACUGCUGGUUAGUGGGUCGCUCUGUAGCUGCUGGGGUCAGACUCAGGGUCAAGGUCAGGCUCGGAGUAGGCUUGGGUUUUUGACUCAGAACUGAUCUGAGGACAGAUCUGACCGCGGCGCUGCUCCAGUGGCCCAGAUGUUUUUGGAUGUGUGAAUUCUUACAUAAUGUGUUAUUCAGCAGUAAUGUAUUUUGCUUCAGUCACGUGUGUGUGUGUGUUUGGCUGCUAGACCGGCUGGAUGAGUCCAGCGCUUUAAUCACGUUCAGAUGGUCGAUUUUCUGCCCUGACCUGAAAAACCCACAGCUUCUAUAUGUUGUGACAAGCAGUUCAACAGAAACACAAAGAACUACCAUCUGAAGCCUGUGCCAAGAUAACAAGAGCUUCAAAAACAAGGAUCAGCUCGAGAGAAUGUUUGAAGAGCUUUUAUGUCAUCAGACAAAUGCUGCAUGUACACAUCUUCAGGACAUGAGUGUGCAUAUCAGCACAGUAUUCCUGCACACAUAUUCAUUCAUAUUCUACACAGAAGAACAAGCUGUUUGUCUUUCUCUAAACCGUCAGUCAGGCAGUUUUGAAUUUUUCUUUUUAAUUUAAAAAUAAUAAUAAAAAAAAUGUAUGUAUAGUCAUUUUUAUUUCAGAUUUAGUUUGAAUUAUUUUACAACAUCAAACUACAUUUAAACUAAAUCAAAAAUGAGAACUGUUGCUUGGAACCUAGCUGAAAUAAAAUAUGUUUAAUAUUUUAUUGUAUAUGUCACGCUCACAGCAUGAUGUCUUACCGACUGUAUGUGCAUCUUCAUAUUUCACUGUAAUUUAUUUCAAUAAUUAUGUUUCUGUGUGCAUUAACGGUUGGCUGUUAACUGUGUUUCAUUGACUCUGUGCUCGUUAAUAUCAAGUCUGAGCGGAUUCAUGACACUUUGAUGGGACAGUUCAUCCAAAAAUCAUAAUUCUGUCAUCGUUUAUUCUCAUAUCAUUCUAAACUGUGCGACUUUCUUUCUUCUGAAGACAUUUCUCAAAACAUCUUCUUGAGGACACGAGGACGAGUAAAUGAUGAUUUUUGUGUGAACUAUCCCUUCAACAGCUACAAGUCAUAAACAUCACUUCAACACACAAAUGAGAUUUGGUCAGUAAAUCACUCCUGUUUUACACUUGUGUGUCCGUCCUUCAUACGAUCACAGCCCAACCCAGUCUAAAAUCAUAUCUACUUUAAACUCUUCAAUUUUAAAAUCAGUUUGAGUGUUCUCAGCAAUGGUUGAAUUCACCAAUAUUUUUAAUUUGUUAUUUAUUUUUUUGUGACUGUUGACUGUUAUUCACGCCUUCAGAAAUGAUGCAGUGCGUGAUGUUGGUGAAAUAUUAUAGUAAGUGAUUUCAGGUAAUUCUAGGCGAUAUGAAACACAUGCUCAUCUCUGUGAAAGUGUGUGCACAGCAGCGUUUGCAGAGAACACAGUCCUGUGUUGAAGAUGAAGAGUUAAUUUGGAGCAAGAUUUAAUGCAGGAGGCUGUGGGAAAUCUGCUGACCUGAGAAGACCGGCUCAGAAAUGAUCUCUCAAGCUAUGACUUUCAUCAGCUGAUACUAAUGAAAGCACUUCAUUACAGGACAUUGUUUUAAAAGGAUGUUUUCUUGAAUCUGGCUCUGUGGUGGUUUCGUUUUUCAUCACUUGUCACUUGUUUAAUGUGUUUUCUUUAUUGCAUUUACUUGAUGCUUUUCUCUAAAGUGACUUAUUGAUCCAUAUGACGGGAUUCGGCUGUAAUGUUCUUUAUUCUCUUGCCUGAACAAAAAAAUAAAUAAACUGUUUUCCUCACUGAAUCAUACCUGGAAUUUUCUGAAUUUCACUAUGACAGAAAUGCAGCGAUUAACUUUCUGAAUGUUUUUCAUGUUUUGCUGCUCCACAUCGGGUUGAAAUGAAUGAAGCAGAAUCUGGGUAUCAGUUCCAAACUCGUACGAUUGUCUUUCUUCUGUGGAACAAGGAAGAUUUGUUAGAGAAUCAAUGCAAUAAUAGUCAGUGGGGUCUAAAGUUUCAAGCACCAAAAAAACAUAAAUGUGGUGUAAAAGUCAUCAUACAACUCCAGCAGACUCUUCUGAAGCCAUACGAUCACUUUACACAACUAUCGGAGGGACCUCAAAUCAGCUCAUGUUUACAGACCUUUCUGAAAAUCAAGUAUGCUUUAAAAAGAGCACUUAAGUAAUAUACUUCAGAACAAUAUAUGGUCACACUUUAGUUUAGGGGACCAGUUCUUACUACUUUUGCCUCAAUAAACUCCUUAUUUGCUGCUUAUUAAUAGUUAGUAAGGUAGUUUAGGUAUUGGGUCAAAAUAAGGCAUCUAAAAUAUGCUUGUGCAUCAAAAUGUGUUAUAUUAGUGCUAAUAAACAGCCAAUAUGCUAGUAAUAUGCAUGCUAGUUAAUAGUGAGAACUGGCCCUUAAACUAAAGUGUUAAUUUAUAUACUUAAAGGGGACAUCAGAUGCAAAAUUCACUUUUACAUGAAUAUAAUGUGUGUUGGCAGUGUGUGGACACAAUUACCCUACAAUGAUAAAAAACACUCUUUUUUUUUUAAUCCCCAAAAAUCCUAUACAGUCUCAGUGACCAAGCUUUGAUUUUCUGAGCAGUAUGACGUCAUAUUGCUCAAGCCCCGCCCACAGCCGCUGACGGUGUUCUGAAAUAUUUGGUGUCUGAGAUUUUCUGUGAAACUGGGCGAAGCUUACAUGAAUAUUCAUGAGUUUCCUCUUAAAGUGCAGUUAAAACAUUAGUGCUCCUCGGAUCAAAAAAAAAAAAAAAAACCUGUUUCCGGUAACAUCAUUUCUUUUCAGCGUUGAUCUGAUUUUUUAUAUAUAUUUUUAUAUAUGUAUUAUUAUGCACAGCCAUUUACAGUCAUGGCCAAAAAUAUCUUGGUAAAUAUGAUCAAAGGCGGCUGUGAAAAUUAAUCUGCAUUGUUAAUCCUUUUGAUCUUUUAUUUUAAAAAAUCACAAAAAUCUAACCUUUCAUUGGAUAAUAAGAAUUUAAAAUGGGGGGAAAUAUCAUUAUGAAAUUAAUGCUUUUCUCUAAUGUUAAGCAGGCCUCUCCUCUAUCUGUGUUUAAAACCCAUCUUAAAACCCUUCUUUUCUCUUUGGCUUUUGACACCUAGUAAGAUGUCGACUUUAUUUACUUGAUUUAAUUUGUUACUUUGAAUGCUUUUAUUGUGUGGUUAUUAAUUGUACAUAUGUUUAUUUUUUCUGUACAGCACUUUGGUCAACUGUGGUUGUUGUAAAGUGCAUAACAAAUAAAGUUGGUAUGGUAUGGUAAUACACACUGGACACAAUUAACGGCACCCUUUUAUUCAAUACUUUCUGAAACCUCCUUUUGCCAGUUUAACAGCUCUACAUGUUCUCCUAUAAUGCCUGAUGAGGUUAGAGAACACCUGACAAGAGAUCAGAGCUCAUUUCUUAGUUUAAUCUCACCAUAGAAGCCAGUCCCAUUUAAAGUUUGAGUCGUGUCUGAUAACUGAAUAUGCUUUAGUUUGUUUUUGGAUGAGCUAGGAGAAUUUUUCUUGUAACCCUCCUAAACAACAUGUGAUGAUGUUCUGUUUGGUUGGAAAUUCUUAAUUAUUGUCCUGAUGGUGGAAAUGGGAAUUUUCACUGCUCUAGCUCUUUUCUUAAAGCCACUUCACCAAUUUGUGAAGCUCAAUUAUCUUUUGCUGCACAUCAGAAAUAUAUUCUUUGGUUUUUCUCAUUGUGAUGGAUGAUUCAGGGAAUUUGGGCUUUGUUUUCCCUCAUAUUUAUAUUUCUGUGAAACAGGAAGCCUUGGCUCGAUAAUUUCAUGUUCAUAAUCACCCUGGAGUGCCCAAAAUUGUGAAUAUGAAUGGGAAUAUACUUCUGAGAUAUAUUACUCAUAAGAAUUUCUAGGGGUGCCAAUAAUUGUGCCCAAUGUGUAUUAGAGAAAAACUUUCAUUUCAUAAUGAUAUUUCCCCCCAUUUUAAAUUCUUAUUAUCCA
ensembl:lncRNA